UAUAGUGCGGAUGCCAGAGCAGUUGAAUUCUUAUGCAUAGGAAAAUGUGUUUUAAAGAGAGAGAAUAUUACGAUUGAGAGAGAAUGUGGAAGAGAGAGAGUACUGUAAUAGGAAGAGAACUAAGUAUUGCCUUGGGAAGAGAGAGGAAGUAUUGCAUUAGGAAGGAGAUAGAGUGAAAAUUGGUCACAGAGAGAGUCAAAUACAGAGGAAGAGACGAGGGCGAUGAGAGUCUUUCUUUGGCGUUUGAUAUGGGUUUCUAUGUGGUUUGUAGAUCAGGAGUUGUGCUACGAUGGUGUUAAGCUCAUUAAGAAUUGUGUGGUAGGGUCUUUUUCACCUCUUUCUAAUGACGUUUUCGAGCUUAGUGAUUGGGCAAAGAGAUGAUGAUCGCUAAAUUAUUGCCUGGAAGUGAAGGUUAUUGUCGUCAACAAAGUGGCUUUUAUUUUUCGAUCUGAGGUGGAAGUUAACAUAGUGCUGUGUUUCAGAUUUCUUAGAGUCCGAGGUAGGCUUCUUUUCUUAGAUCUUUGGAAGCAAUCAAACCAUUCUUCCUUUUUUCCAAAGGGUAUGCUCAUCGUGCUACUUUCGGGUAUCCCCUUGCAUACUUGGAAGUUGUCAGUUAUAAAGCACAUUGCUAAUAGUUAUGGUGAAUAUUGUGAUUUAGAUUGGACAUCCUUUCGAGGUGUUGAUCGAUGUUCUGUCAAGGUGAAAGUAUGGUUCCUGUUGGGCCAAGUUCCUCCCUAAGGGUGUGGCUAAUGAAUAUUUUUUAAUAAGAGUCUUGGUUGAGGGCAGGAGUCUACCACCAUUUAUUGGAAAGGAUGAUAGGGGUUUACGGGCUGUGGUGGAUGUCGUGGCCGGGAAGCUGUACCAAUAAAAUGUAAGCCAUGCAUUUUAUUGGUGUAAGCCAUGGAUGUAGUUUUUAUAAGGUUGCAACCUCACCACCAAAUUUUAUCAUAACAUGUAAUUUUGGUGUAAAAAAUUAUUAGGGUUAUUUGAAAAUCUAUUUUCAUAUCUAAUUAUAAAAUUUCAAAUUUCAAAAAUAGUAAAAAACAAGUAGAUCCAUAAACCUUUGGAAAUCUUGAAACUGGACGGUCUAGAUAAUAUGUUGCAAGAUGCACUAUUUCUAAGACUCAAAAUCGUUUUUUUUUCCAUAUUCAUAAAUCUCAAUGUCGAGAUGAUCAUUUAGAGAAUUUUUCAACAUUAAAACAACCUUUUCCGAUGGAUUUUUUAAGUGCAUCUCUAAUUCUACAUUUUAAUGUUGCAGUCUUAUGUAAACUUUUUCUUUCAAUAAAUCCCCAUAAAAAAUCGCAUAUUUUCUAAAGUAAUAGUAGUUGCUGCCCUCAAUGGUUGAGUGUCGUUGAGUGAUCUCAGCCGUCCGAUCCCAUUGCCGUUUGUUGGAGUGGUGGUGGAAGAAACACAGAGAAAAGAUAAAAUUCCCAACAUCAUUUCAUCAGCUCUUUUGUGUUUUGUGUAUGGUUGGCUUUUUCCUAUAAAGGGAAAGGUCACGUAUCCUAUUCUAGGAUUGAUUGGCUCUCCCAUUCCAAAUUUUGUUGGAUAAGAUAGAAUGCAAAAAUCUAUUGUUGUGUAUGGGUUUUUGUAAGAUUACGGCCCGAAGUUAAACGCUCAUUUCGUGUGCGUGAAAAAAAAAAAAUUGAAAGUAUUUUCACAUGAAAGAACUCUUUAGUGUGAUUAGUUUUAAGAGUUUUUUUCACAUCAAUUAUAGAAAUUUUUUCACAUCAAUUGGUGUGAAAAAUACACUGAGAUCAAUUGGUGCAAAAAAAACUUCCACAACUGAUCACUUAGAGGAGUUCUUUCAUAUGAAACGUGGCUGAAUACGUAUGCACUACUAAAGGAAAAAGUUUAUAAUAAGAUGUCAAUUUAAUAUUUUAAAUGUAAAGCGCACUUCAAAAAUUCACUAAAAAGGUUAUCCCAAGGCUAGAAAAUUCUCAAUUUGAUUAUCUUAACAUCGAGAGAUAUAUAUAUGUGGAAAAAAAAAAAAUUCAAGCCUUAAAAGUAGUGUAUUUUGCGAUGCAUUAUCUGGGAUGUCUAUUUUUUAAAUUUUCAAGUGUUUAUGAAUAUGCUCGAUCUGUACCAAUUUCGGAGUUUUAAUUUCUCAUAAUUAAAGACACAAAUAGAUUUUUGGGUUAUUAUAAGGUUUUUUGGUAUCAAAACUGUGUCUUUCGACAAGAUUUAGAGGUACGCCUUACUUAUUGUUUCAUGUUGAUAUCUUACAUAAGGGUUCGGUUUGUAUAGAGCCUAGGCUCUAAACAAUCAAAUUAGAGUCUACCCUCAAAUAGUAUCGAGAAACGUAGUUUCAAUACUGGAAAUCUUUGAUAGCAUUAAAAUAUAUUUUCAUCUUUAUUUAUAAAGUUUAAAGUUUCAAAAAUAGUGUAGAUCGAUAGAUCUAUGAAAACUUGAAAACCUUGAAAAUUGUCGGUCCAAAAAUGCACUACAAAUACACUAUUUCGAAAACUUGAAAUCCAUUUUUUUCUCAUGUCUAUGCAUCUUGAUGUUGAGAUGAUCAAUUUGAGGAUAUUUGGGCAUCAAAGCAACCUCUUCAAGUGAAUUUUUUGAGGUCGGUUCAAAUUUGAUUGUUUAUAGCCUCAACUCUAUAUAAACUUUUCCCCUUACAUAAAUCACACCUUUAAUCAAAUGGAAUAACUGAUCAAUUAUUUCAUUUCAUUUGAUUAAGGGUUUGGCAAUUUUUGAAUAACUGAUUAAAAGUUUAAAACAGUAGUACUUGGAGACUUCUUCAUAAUAUUCUGCACUUAGGUGUUGGUUACAUGUUGGUUUCUUUUUGCUAAACAUAAGUGUCCCAAUAUCAGUAGUAUUUAAGGGAUUAGAGCAUGUGCUUGCAUUAUUUGUCUGAUAUUCUUUGAAUUGCUUCAUUAUUAAGAUUGGUGUUGAAUGAUAACUAUUAUGGGUAUACAUAUUUUUUAUGCAUUUAGGAACCAUGAUUAUCCCUAAAAUGAAGGUACAUCUUACUAAAUGGCCAUGCCUAAGUUGUUGUUUGUUUGAUUUAUCAUCUAAGCAAUCCAUUUAAAGUAGAUUGGCAUGCUUAAUAAUAACUAGAUUGAGAAUGCUUAGCUGUUUGAUAUAAUUAAAAUUAAGGUACUAAGCCCCACCUUACCUACCUUUGGCAUAAUGAGCAACAUUCUUUGCCCUCACAAAAGAGAAGAGGUUGGAAAAUGUCGCUCAUCAUGGACGAGUUUCUUAGAAAUUUUCAUGGUAAAAAUAUAAAACUUCAUUUAAGGGACCGAGUAAUGCGAGAAAAUAAGCCAAACGACAAAGCAGUGAGAGAAAAUAAGUUAGACCCUGACUAUUUCUAUUUAAUGAGGAUUACAAUGGCAGACCAAAAUUCAUCUAGCUGAGUCCAAAUAAUUGGAAAAAGACUUUCAAAAAAAUAAAAGAGAAAGAGAGAGAGUCAGUUGGGGCCUUAGGAGGAUGAUAUGUUAGAAAGUUCAAAUAACUUUGCACAUAUAGGUUUUCUUUAGACGUGGAUUAGUCCAGUCCACCUUAUAGUGCUCUUCUUACUUUGUUCAAGAAUGAGCGGCCACCUAACAAAUACACAAAUGUCUAAAAUUUUCUUUCACAUUUAACAAGAGGCUCACCUACUACAAAAAGUCUUAUUUGCUCAAAUCAAAUAAAUAAAUACUUUAGAAACUAUUCAGAAAUAAUUUGAGUGCUAUUUUUAUUACCAAAAAACGAAUGUUAAAGAAAGGCUUCACAUGCUAUAUUUUGUACCAGUCCUGUAAUUGGGAAUUCUCAAUUCUCAACCAACCUCCAUUAUUUAUACUUUUAUGAGAUUUUUCCUACUAAAGUUAAGCCACACUCAUCACCCAUUGACUAAAUAUACAUAGACGGUGAAUAUUAGAUUUAAGUACCUUGUUUCACGGUUGUACUUAAUGUGAAAUAUUUUUGUUUUUAAUGAAAAAAUAUACAAUAAGACCAUUUACCUUUGAUACAAGGUGGUCACAAUUGAUAUUGACCAUUGAAUGUGAAAUUGGAUGGUUAUAUUUACUUUAUUAACGAAGCUCAAAGUUCAAAAGAUAUUUUUUUGGACCUUGUGACAAACCCAAUCUAUCAGAUUUCAUAUCAAAUGGCUAUAAGUAAUUGUGACCUCUUUGUAUCAAAAGAAAAUGGUCUCAUGUAUAUAAUCCCUUCAAAAUUUUGGGAGAAGUCUCUCUCUCUCCUUCUCUCUCUUGGCAAAAGAUGAAGAGAAAUGAUAAUAGAGAUAAUGCAACUUAAGUGGUCACAUUCCAUUUAGAUACCUUUUUGGGCCUAGUGUAUUUUCUUGCACAUGAUUUCAGUAUAAUUAUGUAAUUAUUGUGUUGGGUGAAACAAAGUUAGAUAAUUUAGAUAAAAGAUUGUCUAGAAUGAGACUAUUUAUUUUUUGUAUAUAGAGGUCAUGAUCAUUUUCGUCUCUUAAAUUUCAAAAUAGGUGGUUGUAAGAGUGUCAUUGAAUAGACAUAAAGUUUCAAAAAAAAUUUCUCAGACUUCGUUACUCACCUCAAACUAUCCAAUUUGACAUCUAAUGAGUGAGAAUGAUUGUGACAUCCAUGUACAAAAGAUAAAUGAUCUCUUUGUAGACUUUCCUUUUAGAUAAUAAAGACACGUAAAAAAUAAGAAAUAGAAGGCGGAUAUUUUUGUUUUUAGGUAUGCAAAGAUGCUGUCUCAAGUAUAUAUUUGCCCCCCUAAUGAUCAAAAUCAGUGCACAAAAGGAUAUACCAUACAAAAAAGUCAUCAGGAUACCUAAAAAUAGAAGAUCCCUACAUAUAGUCAUCGGGAUACCUAAAAAUAGAAGAUCCCUACAUGGAUUCGCCUAUUUUAAUGCAGUGAAAUUGCAACUCCUAAAUGAACCAAAAUUUUCCUUUAAUUGCAACUAGGUAGAGUGAAACAUUUAUAACUACCUAAAAGUCACUAACUGCCAGAAAACCAACUGUAAUUGCCCAACAGCCAUAAACCUAUUCAAAAUAUUGAAUAUGUUUUGAGUCAUUUGGGAGGGGGCAUGAGAAAAGACCCAUACACGCCCUUAUUCUGAUCUGGAGUCAAUUCUGGGUAUCGGGCCCAUAGGCAUAGCAUAACCAAGUAUUUCUUUCUCUUUAUUCUAUUUUAUCGUUUCAUUUCAUUUUACUGUUGUGCAUGCUAGCAUAACCUUUUCAAACUCAAAGUGAUUUCAAACUUUUUAUUAGUUUUGGUGAAAGAGGUCCUUAGUGGCCUACAUACUGUAGUUUGAUGAAAAACAUCCUUUAUUGAUUCCAUUUGAUUUGGCUUAUGCAUAAAAUAGAGGCUGAGGAAGUGCUAUCUUUCUUGCUUUUGCCGAUCUCAAGUAUAAACAAAGAGGAUUUGAGUUAGUACAAAGGUAAAUCAUCAUCAUCAACCUUUUUUCAACUAUUUGAAGUCGGCUACAUGAAUCUUGGUCCACCAUUUUACUAUAUUAAGCACCAUGCCUUCAGUGAGGCCUUCAGUCUCUAUAACUUUUCUCACUGCUUCCAAUCCGAUACAACUCAUCACUUACAGGGAAUACCCUUGCAUAAAAUAUAACAUAAAUUUUGUUUUCAUAGAAAGUUUUGACAAAGUUUUACAUUGGCUGCUUUCUUAAUACAAUCUACCUCCUUUUUCUUGGACUUGGGAAAAGGUCCUCACUCUUCUUAUGGCCCACUAUAAGUUUCUUGUAGAAGGGUACCGUUGAAGGGUUGCCUCAAAGUAAGCUAUCGUGGGUAGAAUCGUCAUACCUUCAUUAAUGAUUUCGUUUUCCUCAUCAAGAGCAAAGAAGCUCUUUGUAGGACUGGAACAAUGAGGAACUUUAGGGAAUUUCUUCUUUAGAGAAGUUGGAGUCCUUACUUUCAUUAGGGGAAUAUACUGAAAAAGAGGAUGAUCUUCAAUAAGAUCAAUGCAGACCUUCAAUAAGAUCAAUGAAGAGAACUAGUUUAUAAGCUUCUUCUCACAUUGUUGCUAUGGAUGGAGCUUCCUCAUUGAUUCAAUUGCUUGUCUAAAAGAGAUCUAGCAGGUUUGUGAGAGUUUGUUAUGGUUUUUGUUGGAUUUGGUGCUAUCCCAAAUCACUCACAUAAGAAAAUCCCAUAUUUUGUGGGAUUGAUUGAGAUUGAUCCAUAUUAUGUGGGAUUGAGAUAUUAUCAUAUUAUGUGAGAUUGAUAUUGAUAAGUUUUCCAAGGGAAAUAGAAAUCCAAAAAAAAUUAGGACUCUUGGAUAUAUCUCUUAGUCUUUUGAUAUAUAUAUAACAUCAAUAGGAGGUUUCCUAUUUAGUCUGGACUCCUAAUCUAUAUAUAUGGGAUGAAAGUACAGAGAAUUUGUGUGCCUUAUUUGGUCACCAUAUGAGAGAGAGAGAGAGAGAAAUAGAACCUCCUGUGCAUAAGAUGCAAUUUUCUCUUAGAGAGAAGAGAACUUCCUAUGAAGAGAAAUAAUGAUGAUGCUUCCUGAAAACUCCUGCAGAGUGAUAUGUUAGUUUCUUGUAAAGAAGCGGUUCCUAUAGAGAUUUUCAGUUGUUUCCCCUUUUAGUGAGAUAAGUCACAUUUGCUCUCAAAGUUGUUAUCUUCCAAGACAAUGGUCUAUUUAUGGAAUAGAUAUGAGAGAAUCGGCAUGGUACCGUUUGGGAGAGUAGGUUUAAAAAGAGUUUGCACGACUGUAUUUUUGUCGAGGUUUCUUCCAAAAUAUUUGAUGUAACUUUCAUUGGUGUAGUGGAUUUGUAUUUGUCGUGCCCGUGGAUAUAGCCCUAUUGGGUGAACCACGUAAUCUUUGUGUAUUUCAUAUUUUAUUUAUCGUACUUUAUUUGUCAAAAAUCAACCCAUCGGGUUUAGAGCAUCCGUGCAUAACAAGUGGUAUCAGAGCACAACAAGUGAUACAAAGCCCUGGUUUUGGGUUGUCGGUAAGACAGUAAAGGUUUCGAAUGCAAAAUUCUAAGUGGAGAAAUUUGAUGGUAAAACUAUUUUUUCUGCAAGAAUGAUGAAAAAAUUUAUUUGGCGAAGGUUGAAUGAUUUGUGAAGCAAUUCAAUGGAUAUUGGCAUGAUGAGCAAGUGAUUUUGAUAUCAAGGUAGAGAUUGUUGAAUUUGGUGCUAUACAAAAUCACCCAUAUAAAAAAAUCCCAUAUUUUGUGGGAUUGGUUGAGAUUGAUCUAUAUUAUGUGGGAUUAAGAUAUUCCCAUAUUAUGUAGGAUUGAGAUUGAUAUUAAUAAGUUUUCUAAGGGAAAUAGAAAUCCAAAAAGGAUUAAGACUCUUGGAUAUAUCUCUUAGUCUUUUGAUAUAUAUGUAACGUCAAUAAGAGGUUCCUUAUUUAGUUUGGACUCUUAAUCUUAUAUAUAUGAGAUGAAAGUAUAAAGAAUUUGUACGUCAUAUUUGGGUCACUAUAUGGGAAUGAUGGUUCCUCUAGAGAGAGAGGGAGAUAGAGCCUCCAGUGCAUAAGGUACAAUUUCCUCUUAUAGAGAAGAUAGCUUCCUAUGAAGAGAAACAUUGAUGAUGACUUCUGAAGACUCCAAUAGAGUGAGAUGUUGGUUUCUUGUAGAAAAGCGGUUCCCAUAGAGAUUUUGGGCUUUUUCCUCUUUUAGUGAGAUAAAGUCUUAUUUGCUCUCAAAGUUGUUCUCUUUCAAGAUAGUGGUCUAGUUAUGGAAUAGAGAUGAGAGAAUCGACAUGGUGUCGUUUGGGAAAGCAGGUUUAAAAAGGGUUUGCUCGACUGUAUUUUUGUCAAAGUUUGUUCCGAAAUCAUUGAUGUAACUUUCAUUAUUAUAGUGGAUUUCAGUUUGCCGUGCUCGUGCUCGCGGUAAGACCCUCACCGAUAGUAGAUUCUUUUAUGAUAUCGUGAUGAAUGGCCAUGACUCUUAUUGCUAUUGACCACUACGCAAUGGGACACUCACCGAUAGUAGAUACUGUUAUGAUAUCGUGACGAAUGACCACAACUUAUAUUGAUAUUGACCACUACAAGGUGGGACACUCACCGGUAGUGGAUAUUGUUAUAAUAUCGCCUGCUACGCUAUGAGACACUCAUCGCUAGUAAGGAAAGUGAUGUCGGCAUAUCCCCUAACAUAUAUAAUAAUAGGAACGGGUUAAGAGAGAGGAUAGAGGGUCGCACCCUAGAUUCAAAAAACAAAUGAAAUGAUUGAUGCCUUAUAAUGUAAGGGCCUAUCGAACCCCCAAUGCGCACUAGGGACUGUGUACGUGUGUUGAGGGUAUUACGAAGUGGAUUCACCCACUUGGCAUUACCCUCCCUCCUGAGAGAUGGUAGAGGUUCUAAGCAAUGAGAUUGGCUUAGCCCGAUGGAUGGGGCCUCUACUACACGAGUAGGUGAUUUAGGGAGUGAGUGGGUAAUAAGUGAGUUUCUAAAUAAGGAAUGUCCAGGAUUGCACUGAUUGAAUGAUUUCAUUGAUCGAAUGCUCAUGAUCACACUGAUUUAAUGAUAACUGUCGUUUGAAUAUAAUGUUCAUACUCGCUGCCUUGACAUGAUAUUCCUAUAUGCUAAACUAUGACUUUAUAUAGAUGGAUUGAAUUGUUAUCACAUAUGGGUAGAAUUACUAUACAUGCAUAACACUAGACCUACUUAUUGGGCUGUAUAGCUCAUUCCAUGAUUUUUCCUCUCCUUGUAGAUUGAUAGCAGCAGGUUGAGGGCAUGGAGUCUGUGUUUUGUAGCAAGAAGUUGAAGCUAGAUUUCUCGAAGAAUGUGCUUAGAUCUUGUUUGUGUUUGGGUGGCUUGACCCUAGGUUUUUGCUCUUUGUUGAUAUAUGUAAUAUUGGGCCUAAAUACCCUGAACUAAAUGUAACAUUUUGGAAG
rnacentral:lncRNA from 1 species